GGUGGAGACAAGCAGAUCCCAGGAGCUUACUGGUGAGCCAAAAUGGAGCCGUGCCUGCAAAACUUGAUGACAUCUGUCUCAGCCAUCAUGCCUCAGAUCUCAGGACCAAGUGGAACCCUGUCAGCAUUGUCUACCAUUUGCAGACUUGCUCCCUGAGUUUGCUGGACUUCCGUACCUUUUUCACUAUGUGAUGCUGUUUUUACGUGACUGCUCCUACGAGGGGGGCUAAGGACUUGGUACAGCCGAGCAGAUGCAUCCUCUCUGGACUUUGAUUCCUGAGCUGUUGACUCAGAGCAGCAGGGAUGACGGAUGACGCAGAGUCCACUGUGGCCUGGGCAGCAGCUAUGGCAGCUGCAUCCGGUUUCCAGUUGAGAGAAAGACAGCUGUUCUGAGGCAGUAUGCAAUGUCCUGCAUCCAAGGACUUCGCAGUGUGAGCCACGGGGUCAGCCUUUGGCAGCUGGGCUGGUGACUUCAUGGGAGCAGCCCUGUGGAAUGCAAGGGUGUGACUCUUGCCUGGAUGAUUCUCCUUCCCACCUCUGCUUCUUGAAUUAGCUUAAAAGUCAACUUAAUUUAUUGGCAACAGAAACUAAGCUGUCAACAAUAGUGUGCUCUUACAAUAAUCCUUUCCAUGUGGCU